GGAAGGACAAUUCAGAAAUCUUACAAUAGAGUGGAAGAUGUUGUUCCCGUAUCUGGUGGUGCACAUUUUCAAGCUUCUGUACCUUCUACCUGACAGGAGUGGGGAGUAGAAAAAAUGACUGGGGAGGGAAAGAUCCUUAAUUAUCAUAAUCUUAAUUUAUUA